rnacentral:rRNA from 1 species
UACGAAGGGGGCUAGCGUUGCUCGGAAUCACUGGGCGUAAAGCGCACGGAGGCGGAUUGCUAAGUCAGGGGUGAAAUCCUGGAGCUCAACUCCAGAACUGCCUUUGAUACUGGCGAUCUCGAGUCCGGGAGAGGUGAGUGGAACUGCGAGUGUAGAGGUGAAAUUCGUAGAUAUUCGCAAGAACACCAGUGGCGAAGGCGGCUCACUGGCCCGGUACUGACGCUGAGGUGCGAAAGCGUGGGGAGCAAACAGG